CAGAAAAUAGACAAAUUACUUCUCACGGAGCACCUUAGUGCCAGUUCUCCAGGCCCCACUUCUCCACACAGUGACACUGCCUUCCAUAUUCAUCACAGCAUCUGCACGCUUGACUGGGAAAAUCAUGAGGCCCUGCCAAGUCGGUGGUUGCGCUAGCUCUACCGUGACACUGUGAGGAGAAACUUGGGUUUCGAACCAGUGAACAAUUUUUAUUUACUUAUUCAUGAGAGACAGAGAGAGAG